CCUACGGGAGGCAGCAGUAGGGAAUAUUGGACAAUGGGCGCAAGCCUGAUCCAGCCAUGCCGCGUGAGUGAAGAAGGCCCUCGGGUUGUAAAGCUCUUUUGUUGGGGAAGAAAAGCAUUUGGUUAAUACCCAGAUGUUCUGACGGUACCCAAAGAAUAAGCACCGGCUAACUUCGUGC
rnacentral:rRNA from 1 species